rnacentral:rRNA from 1 species
GAUGAACGCUAGCGGCAGGCCUAACACAUGCAGUCGAGGGAGAAGCCCUUUCGGGGGCAGAAACCGGCGCACGGGUGCGUAACGCGUAUGCAACCUACCUUUCACAGGGGGAUAGCCCGAAGAAAUUUGGAUUAAUACCCCAUAAUAUUGUUGGAUGGCAUCAUUUGGCAAUUAAAGCUACGACGGUGGAAGAUGGGCAUGCGUCCUAUUAGCUAGUUGGAGUGGUAACGGCACCCCAAGGCUACGAUAGGUAGGGGUCCUGAGAGGGAGAUCCCCCACACUGGUACUGAGACAGGGACCAGACUCCUACGGGAGGCAGCAGUGAGGAAUAUUGGUCAAUGGUCGGAAGACUGAACCAGCCAUGCCGCGUGCAGGAAGAAUGCCUUAUGGGUUGUAAACUGCUUUUAUAUGGGAAGAAUAAGGUGUAACGUGUACAUUGAUGACGGUACCAUAUGAAUAAG